UUACCAAAUAUGUCUCCAGUCUUUAGACUAAUUUAAUUAUUAUAAAGGUGGUUGGACAAAUAGCAAAGAUUUGCUUUUCAUUAACAAAGGGCACAUCAAAACCGAGUUUAUCCUUCCCAGUUACCCAACAUUCAAAGCUUCUACUGCAGCCACUUUCUAGUCAUUUUAGACCCCAGAGCAGUGUGACGAUUUGAUGCAUAAGUUUCAACACGUUUUAUUAAUCUAUUCUUCUUGUGCUUUAUUUAAAAUAUUGGAAACUAUAAAAAGAUCAGCGUGUUAAUCCUCUGCCAGGAAACAGGGGGAAAAAAAGUUAAAAACCUAACAACAACACGAAAAAAGCAAGAGCGCUGGAAUCUCAGCUUUGAGGAAACACAUGGGAUGAAAGCAUCCGCCCAAGCUCUAACCAUUUGUCACAUGGGACACUUCCCCUCAGGGUGAAUCCUGGAUGUCCCCAGGAUGGAGCGAGGAGGUCGUGCGUGCGGGCGAGUGUGUGACUGCAGGGGGCCUUGGCGGCGCGAGGAGGCGACGCCGCCCCUUCCCUCAGGCGCAGGGAGGGUCUUCCAGGAAGCCGCGGACCUCGGCUGACUCCGCGGCUGCGGGUCCCAGGCUGCGGCCGCCGAGGCCGGCACGUAGCGCCGAGCGUGACUCAGCGCUGACUCAUCGGACUCGCUGCCAGUGGAUUUCCCCCGUCAGCCGCUCGCGCUCCUCCUGUCGCCGGGAGCUCGCAGGACUUCGCAGAUACCGCUGCCUCCUUAGUCUUUCCUGCACAGCAGAGCUGUCCUGUCGCUUUAAACAGAGCUAGCCAGCUUUCACUGCUUUUGAAUCCCUACCGAGCAGGGCACUGCCGUGCUCUGUUUUCUUUGCCUGUAAGAGUGCAAUAGUCCACUAAUCAAAUUCUUUCAUCAAAAGCAUGUUGGGACAAAUCCCUGACAUCGUCCUUCCACUGACUUCGAGGUGACCUCCACCCAGGUUUCACUUCCGUUGUGACCAGCUCUCGUCUUAUUUUUGUCCCUCAUUUUGUGAAUUUAUCCUCUCACCACGCUUGAUAACUAACGUUGGCGCAAACCCACAAUUGUGGUGACGCAAAUCAGGUUGAAACUUGGCAUCGUCGUGUGCAGGCAGUGAGGGACUUACUGUAAAACCUGGGACCUUCAUAAAGGCGUUCUUAUCUGCCAUCCCACUUGCUGAUUAGAUACCAUGCUCAUUUUCUGUCAGCCACUCCCCUUUGAAAGUUCCUGAGAAAGAUUUAGAUGAAACCUGUAUUCAGGAGCGGUCGUGCUCAUUUAUUCUUCCCCAGAGUUCAAUCUGCAACGCAGCAGUAGGGCAGCAUUUCUCCAACUUUACCAUGGACCACCUGCAUCAAAAGCGCCGCGGUAAAAAUGCAGAUUCUUGAAGCUCACUUCAAAUUACAGACUCGGAAUGUUCUGGCGGGGUGGAGGCAUGGAGGCACCUUCUGAGGGCGGGGCCUAGAAAUAAUCCUUCGUGUUAACCAACUACCUAUCAGUGAUUCUUAGAGUAAUAUUUCUUCAAUCUGACUUUGUGUCAGAAUUACCCGAAGAGUUAUACAAAAACUCUAAUUCCUUGACCAGCCCUCAGGCUUGAAGACACUAUCUCUGAAGAAGGGGAGUACAACACACGGGAUUAUUAUUGCUGAUGACACCAGGUGAUAUUUUGCCUAAACUCCUGAGGUAAGUGCUCUCUGAAGACCCCAUUCAACCCAGACCUUUGAAAUGGCUCACUUCCCAUUCAAACCCUAUUAAUCUUUUACCUCAUGGAGGCAACAGGUGGUUUAGAAAAGAGCCAAUAGAAAGAUAAUUUUUGUCCUUCAGGAUCAGUGCCAGUGGAAAAAAGUGACCUGAAAUACAGAUCUCAGGCCUGACAUGAUGAAAAUCUAAUGCCACAGCUGUUGUCUCUCAGAACUGUCACUCAUCAUGUUUUAAUUUCACAGUUUUGAUUUAAUCUUUUCUAAAUACAGCACUGGAUAAAUACAGAACAAGAUAACAAGAGUUCCCAGCAAAGGAGCCAGAGUCUCACUCUUGUUGCCCAGGCUGGAGUGCAAU